rnacentral:rRNA from 1 species
AUUGAACGCUGGCGGCAGGCCUAACACAUGCAAGUCGAGCGGAGCGGCGGAAGGGUGAGGAAUGCAUAGGAAUCUGCCUGGUCGUGGGGGAUAACGUCCGGAAACGGGCGAUAAUACCGCAUAAUAUCAGAUGAGACUAGGUCGGAUUAGCUAGUCGGUGGGGUAAAGGCCUACCAAGGCGACGAUCCGGAACUGGUCUGGUAGGAUGAUCAGUAACACUGUAACCGAGACACGGUCCAGAAUCCUACGGGAGGCAGCAUUGGGGAAUAUUGGACAAUGGGCGAAAGCCGGUUCCAGCCAUGCCGCGUGUGUGAAGAAGGUCUUCGGAUUGUAAAGCACCUUAAGUUGGGAGGCGUUACCAACAGAAUGCGCACCGGCUAACUUCGUGCCAGCAGCCGCGGUAAUUC